rnacentral:rRNA from 1 species
AAAGAGGCUCUCUUCAUCCCCUGAAGGUCCCUACCUCGCCUCCUCCCAGCCCUCCCAACUCAUCUCCGCCGUCCAUAUACCCAUCUCCUCUCCGCGUGACCCAGAUGAGGAACCAUCGAUGAUGGCGUACGGGAAGCGCGCAUGGAGGGCGUUGCCGAGGCGGCGGCGCCGGCGACGGAAGCUACCUCUACCGACAACAGCACGAAUCAUCAAGGGCCGCGGUGCUGCCAUCCCAGUUGUCGGCGUCCUCUUGUGCGCCCCGGCCACAUAGGAGGACUGCCACAACUGUUGUGGAUCCUCAUCGUUCGUGUUGUGCAAGGACGGGGGUCGUCCUCGUUGUGCGAGGGUAGCACAUCGGGAGCUGCAACAACUAGGUUGCCGCACUCCUCGUCGACGCCCUUCUGAGCCUGUUGAACGCCGCGGUCAACGACUACGUGGGAAGAGCUGCGACAUGCUGCUUCACCUUCAAUGGCUUUUCGCGCCGGUCAAAAGACUGCAGGCAUGCAGAAUACAUCUCUGAAGGACCUAGCCAUGACUAUUACUGUGCAUGUGUGAACUCCUAUGAUAUGGGAAUUUGGAAGCCAGGAAACAUGGGCACUAUUUCAGCUGGAUUUUGUUGUAGUAGAUUGCCAUGUUAGGCUGAACAAAGGGCAAUAUAGUGUUUUGCCUUCUAUCAAAAGUUCACCAAGUUUGUUACUCUGGCAGAAAACUAUUAUGGAGGGGGACGUGUGGUGCAGAACCGAAUAGACAAAGAACAUGCUCAAAGAGGGCUCUAUCUAUCGAAUCUCAAUUUUUGAUGUUUAAGUGCCAAAAAGAUAUACAAAGCAGUGGAUUUUCCUACAAAGAUUUGCUUCACCCAGAGAACAUUGCCUAUGAAAAGGCCUCAACCAGACAAUUUUCCCAGAUUUGCCUACAGUAUGCAUCCUUUUACGGUGUUGGAGAAUAGAGCAAAAUAUACCUCUGUCAAGUAAAUGUGUUGACAAGUACUUAAAAUGUAGUGUACACAAGCAAAAAUAAAGGUCGAUGCGUACAUAUUUUUGGAAUCCAUAGAUAUCGUUGGUUUGAUAACAUUGGUUAGUGAGAUUCUACCCCUGGCAGGUACAAACAAGGGAGACAGAUUUAUAUCGGUGAUGGAAAGUACAAUUAUUUGGAAGCAUUGUCUAACAUAGGCAUAAUAAAGGUUAAAUGACUAUAAACUGGAUAAUUCCUGCAGCCAAUCUGCUGUUGGAAGAUUCGGUUGAGGCAUUAAAUGUUCAAGGCUUACGCUCGGCUUCUACCAACGAACCGACCAUUGUUGUGUUUGUUGGCAUGCUGGGUAUGCUAGCAGACAAGUAUACAUCAACUGCGGCAAGACUUUGAUGACGCGGAACCGUCAACAUGUUUGUCUGACCUCCUCGGCGAAGUCCGCUCCAUGAUCACCUCCCAGCGAGACCGAGCGCGCUUCACCGCCGUUUGGAGGGAAAAGGAGUUAAGAGAAAAAGAGAAGGCUCAGCACCUCUAUUUGCAUGUCAAAUCUGAAGUAGAGAGCUAUCUGAAGGAGAAGAGAGAGAAGGAUCCCUACAGGAGUACACUGACCGGUCUUCUAUAUCAGGCAGGAAAUGGUUCUGAUGCAGAAAUACCCACAUUUGAACCCGCAAGCUGAGAUGAUCAUUUUGUCAUUAGUUAAGAUCCAAACCAAUUGUUUAUAUUGUUCAUGUUAAAUCUUUUAUAUACAAUAGUUGUUUUUAUUAAUUUUACCUCAAAUUAAUUGCAGUUUAUUCAAAUUAGAAAAGUCAAUAAAUAUUAAAAACUAAGUUCAGAACUGUAAAUUUCUAUGUGAUGAACAUUCAAUGGAUUUACUAACCUAGGCAGGGGCUCUCAUUCCAAACGGUGACUGAGUGAAGGACC